UCCAUAAAGUAGGAAACACU
rnacentral:miRNA from 1 species